GGCUAUAAUGCAGUCGACGAACUCUGGUAUUGAUUGGUGCUUGCAUCAUGAUUUACAUUUGAGUGAGUGGCGAACUGGUGAGUAACACGUGGGAAACCUGCCCAGAAGCGGGGGAUAACACCUGGAAACAGAUGCUAAUACCGCAUAACAACUUGGACCGCAUGGUCCGAGUUUGAAAGAUGGCUUCGGCUAUCACUUUUGGAUGGUCCCGCGGCGUAUUAGCUAGAUGGUGGGGUAACGGCUCACCAUGGCAAUGAUACGUAGCCGACCUGAGAGGGUAAUCGGCCACAUUGGGACUGAGACACGGCCCAAACUCCUACGGGAGGCAGCAGUAGGGAAUCUUCCACAAUGGACGAAAGUCUGAUGGAGCAACGCCGCGUGAGUGAAGAAGGGUUUCGGCUCGUAAAACUCUGUUGUUAAAGAAGAACAUAUCUGAGAGUAACUGUUCAGGUAUUGACGGUAUUUAACCAGAAAGCCACGGCUAACUACGUGCCAGCAGCCGCGGUAAUACGUAGGUGGCAAGCGUUGUCCGGAUUUAUUGGGCGUAAAGCGAGCGCAGGCGGUUUUUUAAGUCUGAUGUGAAAGCCUUCGGCUCAACCGAAGAAGUGCAUCGGAAACUGGGAAACUUGAGUGCAGAAGAGGACAGUGGAACUCCAUGUGUAGCGGUGAAAUGCGUAGAUAUAUGGAAGAACACCAGUGGCGAAGGCGGCUGUCUGGUCUGUAACUGACGCUGAGGCUCGAAAGUAUGGGUAGCAAACAGGAUUAGAUACCCUGGUAGUCCAUACCGUAAACGAUGAAUGCUAAGUGUUGGAGGGUUUCCGCCCUUCAGUGCUGCAGCUAACGCAUUAAGCAUUCC
rnacentral:rRNA from 2 species